UACGGAGGGGGUUAGCGUUGUUCGGAAUUACUGGGCGUAAAGCGCGCGUAGGCCGCUAAGCGUGUCGGGUGUGAAAUCUCGGGGCUCAACCUGGGAACUGCAUUCCAAACUGUCAAACUAGAGUGUGGUAGAGGGAGGUAGAAUUUCCUGUGUAGCGGUGAAAUGCGUAGAUAUAGGAAGGAAUACCGAUGGCGAAGGCAGCCUCCUGGACCAACACUGACGCUGAGGUGCGAAAGCGUGGGGAGCAAACAGG
rnacentral:rRNA from 1 species